rnacentral:rRNA from 1 species
UACGAAGGGGGCUAGCGUUGUUCGGAAUUACUGGGCGUAAAGCGCACGUAGGCGGAUAUUUAAGUCAGGGGUGAAAUCCCAGAGCUCAACUCUGGAACUGCCUUUGAUACUGGGUAUCUCGAGUAUGGAAGAGGUGAGUGGAAUUCCGAGUGUAGAGGUAGAAAUUCGUAGAUAUUCGGAGGAACACCAGUGGCGAAGGCGGCUCACUGGUCCAUUACUGACGCUGAGGUGCGAAAGCGUGGGGAGCAAACAGG